CCUACGGGAGGCAGCAGUGGGGAAUAUUGCGCAAUGGGCGAAAGCCUGACGCAGCGACGCCGCGUGAGGGAUGAAGGUCUUCGGAUCGUAAACCUCUGUCAGCAGGGAAGAACGGUCACUGUGCUAAUCAGCAGUGAAUUGACGGUACCUGCAAAGGAAGCACCGGCUAACUCCGUGCCAGCAGCCGCGGUAAUACGGAGGGUGCGAGCGUUAAUCGGAAUUACUGGGCGUAAAGCGCUCGUAGGCGGUAUGUCAAGUCAAGGGUGAAAUCCCCGCGCGCAACGUGGGAACUGCCUUUGAAACUGGCAAACUGGGGUGUGUGAGAGGAUAGUGGAAUUCCAGGUGUAGGAGUGAAAUCCGUAGAUAUCUGGAGGAACAUCAGUGGCGAAGGCGACUAUCUGGCACAUAACUGACGCUGAGGAGCGAAAGCGUGGGUAGCAAACAGGAUUAGAUACCCGUGUAGUC
rnacentral:rRNA from 1 species